rnacentral:rRNA from 1 species
GCCUACAAACCGUUGGAGCCUCCUUGUGGGGUGACAGCGUGCCUUUUGAAGAAUGAGCCUGCGAGUUAGUGAUACGUGGCGAGGUUAACCCGUGUGGGGAAGCCGUAGCGAAAGCGAGUCUGAAUAGGGCGAUUGAGUCGCGUGUCCUAGACCCGAAGCGGAGUGAUCUACCCAUGGCCAGGUUGAAGCGCGUGUAAGAGCGCGUGGAGGACCGAACCCACUUCAGUUGAAAAUGGAGGGGAUGAGCUGUGGGUAGGGGUGAAAGGCCAAUCAAACUCCGUGAUAGCUGGUUCUCCCCGAAAUGCAUUUAGGUGCAGCGUCACGUGUUUCUUCCCGGAGGUAGAGCUACUGGAUGGACGAUGGGCCCUACAAGGUUACUGACUUCAGCCAAACUCCGAAUGCCGGGAAGUGAGAGCGUGGCAGUGAGACUGUGGGGGAUAAGCUUCAUAGUCGAGAGGGAAACAGCCCAGACCACCGGUUAAGGCCCCUAAGCGUGUGCUAAGUGGGAAAGGAUGUGGAGUUGCUGAGACAACCAGGAGGUUGGCUUAGAAGCAGCCACCCUUGAAAGAGUGCGUAAUAGCUCACUGGUCAAGUGAUUCCGCGCCGACAAUGUAGCGGGGCUCAAGUACACCGCCGAAACCGUGGCAUUCAGUUUUGCUGGAUGGGUAGGGGAGCGUCGUUCACGAGGUGAAGCCA